UAGGGAAUUUUCGGCAAUGGGGGCAACCCUGACCGAGCAACGCCGCGUGAGUGAAGAAUGCCUUCGGGUUGUAAAGCUCUGUUGUAAGGGAAGAAAAGUAUCAAGAGGCAAUGCUUGAUGCGUGACGGUACCUUACCAGAAAGCCACGGCUAACUACGUG
rnacentral:rRNA from 1 species